AGAUUAUUUCAAUAGACAGUCCUUGGGCACCUACCGUAUGCCAGGCUCUGGCUUGAAGGAAUGCAAACAUCAGUUUAAUAUGUAGCCUUAUCCCCCAGUAACUCAAACUCAGGAGAAACUGGAGGGAAAUAACAUUUGCAAAGUAUUUUGUGAUUUUAAGAGUUUCCACAGACAUUAUCUCAUUGGAUCCUUACAACAGCCUCUGAGGUAGGGACUAUUAUCCCCAUUUUACAGAGGAAGAAACUGAGGCUCAAUGAAGUAAAGUGAUUUGUUCAAGGCAGCAUAGCUAGGCAGUGGCAGAGCAGAGAUCUAAAACCAGGCCUGCCCAAUCCCAAAGCCCUUGGUUCUGGGGGCAGCGGGGAUGGCCAGUUUUCAUGGAACCUGUUUUCUGUCCCCCUGCCACUCCCGCCCCUGGCAGGGCUCCUGGUGCAGCAGAUCAUCUUCUUCCUGGGAACCACGGCCCUGGCCUUCCUGGUGCUCAUGCCUGUGCUCCAUGGCAGGAACCUCCUGCUCUUCCGUUCCCUGGAGUCCUCGUGGCCCUUCUGGCUGACUUUGGCCCUGGCUGUGAUCCU
rnacentral:lncRNA from 10 species